GCGAAGCUGGCCCGCAACUCAACUCGUCGAAAACUUAUCGUUUACUGUUUUACAUGCAUGUUCGUUGGUAUUAGUGAAAUCGCGUUUGACAGAUCGUUUUGUUUACAUCCAAUGUCUUCUUGCUUAUGUAGUGCCAGAAAAUCCGUUCGCCGUUCGUCAACGGUUUUUUUGCGAUUCAACGAUGAAAGUGUACUUUACAGUUGAUGGAGGAAUCCAAUGAACGGGUUCUGCUGCUGAAUGUAUUCUAUUGAAACCAAUUUUGUCAGCGAGCAAUGCAGAACCGAUCGUGUCGCCGAUGAAAAAAAAAAUACUGAAGUAAUGUGACAAAGCCGUCUGGUGUACCCAGGAACAGGCUACGGCAGUUCCGAAGGAGAGAAAUCAAAGGUGGACAAGAAGACCAUUGCGAAGGAUCCCAUACCGUGCGCGAGGCAACUUCUCCGAGUCAAGAGAAUGUCCCAUUGGACCGAAUGC